rnacentral:antisense_RNA from 1 species
GAUGGGAACGGGGGAGAAGAAGGGCACCGCGGCUGGAGGGAAGAAACAGAGCGAGCUACGCUGCGGGAGCGCAGUUACCAGCCGGCUGCGGUCACGUGCCUGGGAGGAGGAGCUGAGACCUCACGGGAGGGGCGCGCGGUAGCGUCCCGGGUCCCCUAGCAGGGCUCUGGAGACCACGUGAAGUCUCCUCGACAGCUGCUUUGCCUCAGGCAUAAAUCAGAAGAGGAAAACCAGCUUCUGGACCUGGAGAGAGGAUGAAAGGGAAUAGGAAUUGAGGGAAGCGGAAGGGAAGAAUAAGGGACCCCUGGAGAGUCCCUACCAAGCCAGACAUAACAAACAAAAGUCCUCUACUACUGAGGAAGACAGAACAGGGAAGCCAGCAGGGGAAGAAAAAGAUGAUGCUGCUCUUGAUGCCUCAAAAAUGGCAAGGAAGAACCCAGGCAACUGAUGUACACACCCUUGGAACAAAUCUGCCCCAGAAGUACAAGACACACUCUUCGAAUUCAUGGAAUAAAUGGGAGGAGCUGGUGUAGUGAAGGAUGAAGAGAAGGCAAUGCAUUGGUUUAGACAAGCCUCCUAGCAGGACCAUCCUGGUGCUGCCUUUAACCUUGCAGUAGGAACACUGAAAAACAUGACUGGCUCCAUGGAAGCAGGGGAUGUAGAAAUGCUCCUUAAUGUUGCUGCAAAACGGGGGAUCCAAGAAGCCCAAGAACUUCUGGAGAAUGUUAUUUGGACUAAAAGCAAGCUCUUGCCAACUGAAAGAACCGGG